rnacentral:rRNA from 1 species
AUAGGGGAGCCGGAGGGAAACCGAGUCUUAACCGGGCGUUAAGUUGCAGGGUAUAGACCCGAAACCCGGUGAUCUAGCCAUGGGCAGGUUGAAGGUUGGGUAACACUAACUGGAGGACCGAACCGACUAAUGUUGAAAAAUUAGCGGAUGACCUGUGGCUGGGGGUGAAAGGCCAAUCAAACCGGGAGAUAGCUGGUUCUCCCCGAAAGCUAUUUAGGUAGCGCCUCGUGAAUUCAUCUCCGGGGGUAGAGCACUGUUUCGGCUAGGGGGCCAUCCCGGCUUACCAACCCGAUGCAAACUGCGAAUACCGGAGAAUGUUAUCACGGGAGACACACGGCGGGUGCUAACGUCCGUCGUGAAGAGGGAAACAACCCAGACCGCCAGCUAAGGUCCCAAAGUCAUGGUUAAGUGGGAAACGAUGUGGGAAGGCCCAGACAGCCAGGAUGUUGGCUUAGAAGCAGCCAUCAUUUAAAGAAAGCGUAAUAGCUCACUGGUCGAGUCGGCCUGCGCGGAAGAUGUAACGGGGCUAAACCAUGCACCGAAGCUGCGGCAGCGACACUGUGUGUUGUUGGGUAGGGGAGCGUUCUGUAAGCCUGUGAAGGUGUGUCGUGAGGCAUGCUGGAGGUAUCAGAAGUGCGAAUGCUGACAUAAGUAACGAUAAAGCGGGUGAAAAGCCCGCUCGCCGGAAGACCAAGGGUUCCUGUCCAACGUUAAUCGGGGCAGGGUGAGUCGACCCCUAAGGCGAGGCCGAAAGGCGUAGUCGAUGGGAAACGGGUUAAUAUUCCCGUACUUGGUGUUACUGCGAAGGGGGGACGGAGAAGGCUAUGUUGGCCGGGCGACGGUUGUCCCGGUUUAAGCGUGUAGGUGUGUGUUCCAGGUAAAUCCGGUUCACUUUAACACUGAGGCGUGACGACGAGGCACUACGGUGCUGAAGCAACAAAUGCCCUGCUUCCAGGAAAAGCCUCUAAGCAUCAGGUAACAUCAAAUCGUACCCCAAACCGACACAGGUGGUCAGGUAGAGAAUACCAAGGCGCUUGAGAGAACUCGGGUGAAGGAACUAGGCAAAAUGGUGCCGUAACUUCGGGAGAAGGCACGCUGACACGUAGGUGAAGUGAUUUACUCAUGGAGCUGAAGUCAGUCGAAGAUACCAGCUGGCUGCAACUGUUUAUUAAAAACACAGCACUGUGCAAACACGAAAGUGGACGUAUACGGUGUGACGCCUGCCCGGUGCCGGAAGGUUAAUUGAUGGGGUCAGCGCAAGCGAAGCUCCUGAUCGAAGCCCCGGUAAACGGCGGCCGUAACUAUAACGGUCCUAAGGUAGCGAAAUUCCUUGUCGGGUAAGUUCCGACCUGCACGAAUGGCGUAAUGAUGGCCAGGCUGUCUCCACCCGAGACUCAGUGAAAUUGAACUCGCUGUGAAGAUGCAGUGUACCCGCGGCAAGACGGAAAGACCCCGUGAACCUUUACUAUAGCUUGACACUGAACAUUGAGCCUUGAUGUGUAGGAUAGGUGGGAGGCUUUGAAGUGUGGACGCCAGUCUGCAUGGAGCCGACCUUGAAAUACCACCCUUUAAUGUUUGAUGUUCUAACGUGGACCCGUUACCCGGGUUGCGGACAGUGUCUGGUGGGUAGUUUGACUGGGGCGGUCUCCUCCUAAAGAGUAACGGAGGAGCACGAAGGUUGGCUAAUCCUGGUCGGACAUCAGGAGGUUAGUGCAAUGGCAUAAGCCAGCUUGACUGCGAGCGUGACGGCGCGAGCAGGUGCGAAAGCAGGUCAUAGUGAUCCGGUGGUUCUGAAUGGAAGGGCCAUCGCUCAACGGAUAAAAGGUACUCCGGGGAUAACAGGCUGAUACCGCCCAAGAGUUCAUAUCGACGGCGGUGUUUGGCACCUCGAUGUCGGCUCAUCACAUCCUGGGGCUGAAGUAGGUCCCAAGGGUAUGGCUGUUCGCCAUUUAAAGUGGUACGCGAGCUGGGUUUAGAACGUCGUGAGACAGUUCGGUCCCUAUCUGCCGUGGGCGCUGGAGAACUGAGGGGGGCUGCUCCUAGUACGAGAGGACCGGAGUGGACGCAUCACUGGUGUUCGGGUUGUCAUGCCAAUGGCACUGCCCGGUAGCUAAAUGCGGAAGAGAUAAGUGCUGAAAGCAUCUAAGCACGAAACUUGCCCCGA